GACGAACGCUGGCGGCGUGCUUAACACAUGCAAGUCGAACGGAAAGGCCCUGCUUUUGUGGGGUGCUCGAGUGGCGAACGGGUGAGUAACACGUGAGUAACCUGCCCUUGACUUUGGGGGAGCUUCAGGAAACUGGGGCUAAUACCGGAUAGGAGCUCCUGCUGCAUGGUGGGGGUUGGAAAAUUUCGGCGGUUGUGGAUGUACUCGCUGCUUAUCAGCUUGUUGGUGAGGUAGUGGCUUCCCAAGGGUUUGACGGGUAGGCGGCCUGGGAGGGUUAACGGGCACCAUAGGCCUGAGAGAGGGAGCAGUAUGCUACGGGACGCAAUAGUCGAGAGCAUUACACAAUGGGCCGGCGUCAGAUGCGGAGGUGUUGGGUGCGGGAUGCUCGGCUACUGGUUAAGAACAGAUUUGGAAUGUACUGAAGACUGAGUGACGGUACCGAGUCAAGAAGCCACGGCUAACUACGUG
rnacentral:rRNA from 1 species